UACGAAGGGGGCUAGCGUUGUUCGGAAUUACUGGGCGUAAAGCGCGCGCAGGCGGUCUUCCAAGUCAGUGGUGAAAGCCCGGAGCUCAACUCCGGAACUGCCAUUGAAACUGUAAGACUUGAGGACGAGAGAGGUGAGUGGAAUUCCCAGUGUAGAGGUGAAAUUCGUAGAUAUCGGGAGGAACACCGGUGGCGAAGGCGGCGACCUGGGACAAUACUGACGCUGAGGUGCGAAAGCGUGGGGAGCAAACAGG
rnacentral:rRNA from 1 species